rnacentral:rRNA from 1 species
GACGAACGCUGGCGGCGCGCCUAACACAUGCAAGUCGAACGGAGCGUACUGUGUGAAGCCUUUCGGGGCGGAACUUUGUAUUGCUUAGUGGCGAACGGGUGAGUAACACGUGAGCAACCUACCCUAAAGUGGGGGACAACAUUUGGAAACGAAUGCUAAUACCGCAUAAGACCACGGAAUCGAGUGAUUCAGUGGCCAAAGGAUUUAUUCGCUUUAGGAUGGGCUCGCGCCUGAUUAGGUAGUUGGUGGGGUAACGGCUCACCAAGCCAACGAUCAGUAGCCGGACUGAGAGGUCGAUCGGCCACAUUGGGACUGAGACACGGCCCAGACUCCUACGGGAGGCAGCAGUGGGGAAUAUUGGGCAAUGGGCGAAAGCCUGACCCAGCGACGCCGCGUGGAGGAAGAAGGUUUUCGGAUUGUAAACUCCUGUCUUCGGGGAAGAUAAUGACGGUACCCGAGGAGGAAGCCACGGCUAACUACGUGCCAGCAGCCGCCGUAAGAC